rnacentral:misc_RNA from 1 species
UCUUUAACUCGAUGAGCUUUCUUAUAAUGCAAUAUCUGCAAAUAGUCACUAUACUGUAAAUUUUCUAGCUUACGCUCUCGCCACGGACGAACUUUCCCCGAUUGCGAUUGAUCAACUAAAACUUUUCUAUCAGUCAAAAUAAAACUCCUCUCAUAUUAGUCACGUGAGAGGAGUU